AAGUAAAAAAUGGGCCUAACCUGAUGAGUACAUGAUGUUAUAGAUUAUAUUAGAUCCCACUUCUAAGAGAAGAAAAUUGCAAUCCGCAUGGCAAGCCAAACCAACUUCCACAUCUAAAGGCUCGGAAAGGAAAUCAAAACUCAUGGCCAGCACCAUCUUAACACAGUAUUGCAGGAGUUUUAUUAAGUUAAGCGCUAUCUAAGCCCCACUAAACUCUCGCGCCAAGAUCUAAUUGAACGCUUCCCCAAAAGUUCCUAUUACCUAAUAAGCAAUUUGCAUGGACGAAACGUAUGGGAAACCUAACCCUAUCCAACUCAUUUCUGACGGGCCGCUACGCCACAUUUUUCCACAAAUUCAUUUUCUUCUUUCAUAAACACACACCGGGUUAAUCAUACGCUAGAGGAACGAGAUCUAACCCACACCAAUUCCCAAAAAACAUUAUAGCUCCUCUAAUCCUUUUCCCGACCUCUAAGUGAGAAAUCAACGGCGAGCAUCGGAGAUCCAAAUCAAGAUCUGUAAAACGAAUUAAGGUUACAGCAGUUACCUUGUGAUCGGAUUCUGAGGCAAUGCCGAGUGAGAAUAAAAGAGAGACGAGGAGGAAGAUGGAGAGGAAUCGAACGGUGGAGGACAUCGCCGUGGAGAGAGAUGAGCAGUAGCCGAGUACAAAAACCAAGCAGAGAAGAUUUUUGGAGCUCAGAUGGAGAUUAUUUAUUUUUUUAAUUCGUUGAUUUAUUACUUAAUUUUUCUGGAGAUUUUCUUAUCAAAUUUCUGAUGUCUGCAAUUUGCAAAAUGCUUUGUGAGAAGGAUGGAGCCAGACUGCUGUUUUUCUUGUUCUCUUUCUUUUUUUACGUUUAUAAGUCAGCUGAAAGGGGGCUCCUGUGUGUGUGCGCGUCUGAAAUGUAAGGGGAGAGAGGGGGCUAGGCUUUUGUAAGAUGAAUCCAAAUAAAAAAAUAAAAAUAGAAAUAUAUGGUAUAAAAAUAAUAACCAAUCUGACGUUGACAUGUCACCAUAUGGAAAAUGCUUCCUCAAAAU
rnacentral:lncRNA from 1 species